ensembl:lncRNA
AGCUGAGAAAAAGUUAACUAAAUAAAACCAGCGUUUCCUUUAGGAUGGUAAAAGAAACAGUGAACUAUGGCUCUUUGUAAGCACUGUUAAAUGGACUGAAAAUGACAAAGUUAUGUUUUUAAUUAGAUGUGAGUAGUGGCCUAUAUAUUCCUAAUACAGGAUUGACUAAACAGGAGCUUUAUUUAAAUGUACGGUAUUAUUCUAAUUUAUUAAAGUUAUUGCAUCUGGAAAUGUACGAUGGUAAAUAUUACAACAUUUGUCAAUUUUGCUUGUAAAAACAUCAUUUCAUGAAACAAUGGACACCCGAUUUAAAACACUCAAAGCCAUAAACUGUUAUGCAAAUUACAUGCAGAUGAUGCAGAUUUGCAUAUAUUAAAGAAAAAAGAGAAACAAAAAAAUCUUCACAGAACUAAAAGAUGAGUCUAGAGAUGAGAAACUAUUAAUUGGUGAUGAUUUGUGGUGUUAAACUUGACUUGAGAGCUGUCACUUCCAGAAUAAAUUUUCGUCUUAUCAGCAGGCAUAUGAAGCCUCGAGAAGGCAGCAGUGUCUGUUGGAGCACAAUGCAAAACCAAAACGGUGUUGACUGAAUCUUAACGCCUGCAAAUCAUUAAUUCAAACAGCACGCUUUAAAAAUCUGACGGCGGCCACUUUCAACCUAAAAAUUAAUCAUUUGGGAAAAUAAAAGCCUCCUCGGGCCUCCAGCAUCCGUGUGAAAAUCCUUCUCCCUCUUCAAAGGCCACAUGAAAAAAAAAAUCCCCUCGUUUCUCUCCAGUGCCGACAUGAAUUUCUGACUCAUUAGCAUUUAUGCAAAUGACUUUCUAAUUGCAGGCGUAAUGACUCUGGCGUGGGAGAUUUUUCAAUCCGCCAUGUUUUUUUGUUGCUGCAUGCUUUGCAGGAUGCCCCUUUUUUUGUCUUCAUUUCUAAAAACAAAAACGAUCCAUUCUCUUGUUUCCAGACGCUCAUCUGACGGGGAUCCUGCUGGAGCUUUAUGUAACAUUUAGAAAGAGUGGGACACUUUUUUUUUUUAAACAGGCCGCGUUUAUCUGAGGCACCGACAAAAGCCAGUUUCUUUUCCUGCUCAGCGCCGCAGUGAAGCUCUGCUACCCGGGUGAUUUUUUAAUAAAGAAAAAAAGGUGCAAAGGGAUGCCAAAGGAGGCUCUAACUUCGAGGUCAGAACUUGGCCCAUGUUACUUCGCCUGCAGAUUGAGAGGAUGGGUAGCCUUAGGGGUUGGUUGUUAUCUUUGGUUAUCUAGCUGUAUGAGUGAUGUACAUUCUUCAUAAAGCUAGAUAACCGAAAGUAACAAGAAUCCCAUUACACUCCUGAAAAGGCAUCAAGACCCCAAAUGCGCCUCCCUACAAGAAAAUGCAAACUUUGCCAGAAGAAUUGUAACAUGAGAGAAGAAAAUGGACUACAUUUUAAAGAAGACGGGAAUGCGAUGCAACAAAAGGCUACCACAUUACUGAAGGAAAGCUGGCAAAAGAAGACUGAAAAACAGAGAAGGAGGAGGGGUUGUUGUUGAUUCUGCCCUCCCUCUCUCCUCGCCCUCCACUGCAUUGCCUCUUCCCUCCUCCUCUUCCCUUCCUCAUCCACUCCAUCCUCAGCAGACUGCCCCUUUUUCCUGUACAGCGAAACGCAGCCCGCGCCACCAUCUUAGAGCAACGCUGGCAUGAAAUGGAAGUGGGAAGACCAGUCAGUGCAGAUAAAUGUGAUUGGUGCAGGGGGAUCCAGAAUGGACAGAGCACACAAAAGGAGGACGGUGGGACUCCUCCUUCAUUCGCUGCCUUUUAGCUGGAGUAAACACGGAGGAUGGCGAUGCUGUCUGCAUGCGAGCCGGCAGUGAUUCCUGCCAUAACUGUGGAACGCUGUGUAUGUCUCCUUGAUGCAUCGCUCGAACCAACACUCAGCCUGGACUGCUUGUGAAUGACUUUUGGUGUUUUAACUGAGCAAACAUCAUGGACUCCAAUCAUGGAAACCUGUGGGACUCGUUGGAAAAUAAGCAGCCCGAAGGCUGGAGGAACUGCUUGAUAAUUGUGACUCUUAAUUCUUUUAUUUGUAGAUGUGGCACUGAAUUUUGUAAUUAUUAUCCUAUAUUUGAUUGUAAAAAAAUAUUGUUUAGACAUGAAGGAAUAUAAUCUGUCCUCAGCUGUCAUAGGCUCCACUUAAUGUAGGUUGUAUUUGAUGAUUUGUAGCCCAUAUUUUGCUCAUUUUCUCUUUUGUUAUAGUUGCUAGGACUCAAAAGACAUGUGAAUGUGAGACCCACGGCAGCAGUGAAUAAUACUGCACUGCGAUUGGACAGCUCCGUGUGUCAGCUGACACAAUGGCGAAGGAGUGAGCUGUCGUCUUUAUACUCUAUGCAACUGUUCUCUUUUUUUCCUUUCUUUAUUGUUUAGGGGAAAAAAACCUUUUCAUAUUUAUUUUGGAUUAUGUUUUGAGCCAUCAGUUUACAGAAAUUCCUUCAGACAUCAUCAAGAGAAAUGGUUUAUGAGGUGCUGACGUUCCAGUUAUUAAUAUAGUGAAACAGAAAUUACAGUCAGGAUGUGUGUGUGAGUGUGUGACAGAUGACAGGAUACAGCAUUUUCAUCAGUGGAUGGAUUGAAUCUCAUAUUUGCAGCUUUCGACUGUGCAGCCAUGAGCCAGAGUCUGAGUAAAUGUGGACUCAAGCAUUUAAUAUUCCUGAUGGUUGGAGUGUGUUUGAUCAGCAGGAAGUAGCUCUGCGUGUAUACAGAACAUGCCACACUAUUAAAAGCUGCUCCCUAUAGCAGUCGUUGAGGCACAGCAGUUUGGCACAUAAUAGUUACCUGCUUUAGUGUAAUGAUACAUCUUUGGGUGAGACAUGACAAAUACAUUGGCUUCAAACACUGCCUUAAUUUCCUGUUCUUGACAUUAACACACAGCGACACACACGCCCGCACACACACAUGCACCCAAAUGCAAUAAGGCAAGUACUAUCAGGGCCUAAUUCAUUCUAUAUUAAUUUUCGGGAAGUGGCAAAUUUUUUAUUACGAUUGAUAAUCUAUGCAAAUCUUUUAAAUAUUACUUUAGACAAUCUAUGUCUAUGCAGCGCUUUUGCAAUUGAUUCAAGGGAGACUAUCUUGGCCUAAUUUAGAAAAUGUAUUCUUUUGAUAAUCAUGCACAUCCCAGUGCUCAAGACAAUUACUUAUCUGCCUGGAUAAGCUUGAAAUUAUGUUUUUAAUCUCUAGCAAAAAAAAGUCACUCUUCUGAAAUCAGUCCAGAGGCUUGAAAACCAUGAAUUGUGGUCUAAAAUAAUUAAAUCAGUUGCACUAAAUCUCCCUUUUCCUUAAAUGUAGAUCAAAUAUAUCUAUUUAGCUUUGAAUAGCAUACUGUUUAUAUAAGCAACAAUGUUUGUAUUAUGCAAUCUCAUCUUUGUGAAUGAGUGUUCACCACACGUGCCUUUGUAUGGAAAACUGUUGAAAUAGUAAUAAAGGUUUACAAUGAAAACAAUGAAACAUGUCUUGUGCAUGCUUUUGAUCAGUUUUGGUUGCAUAUCGCUGGCUGGCAGGAUCGUCUAGUGAUAAAUGGAAAAGUACAUUAAUCAGCCGCAUAUAGUGCUGAAGUGUCCUUGAGCCGUGGCUGAGCCUGGUCAGCAGUGAUGUAAUUCACUGAAAGAAAG